GACGAACGCUGGCGGCGUGCUUAACACAUGCAAGUCGAACGGAAAGGCCCUGCUUUUGUGUGGUUCUCGAGUGGCGAACGCGUGAGUAACACGUGAGUAACCUGCCCUUGACUUUGGGAUAACUUCAGGAAACUGGGGCUAAUACCGGAUAGGAGCUCCUGCUGCAUGGUGGGGGUUGGAAAGUUUCGGCGGUUGGGUAUGGACUCGCGGCUUAUCAGCUUGUUGGUGGGGUAGUGGCUUACCAAGGCUUUGACGGGUAGCCGGCCUGAGAGGGUGACCGGCCACAUUGGGACUGAGAUACGGGCCAGACUCCUACGGGAGGCAGCAGUCGGGAAUAUUGUACGAUGGGCUGAAGGCUGAUGCAGUAACGCCGCGUGCGGGAUGACGGCCUUCGGGUUGUAAACCGCUUUCGCCUCUGACGCAGCGUGAGAGACGGUAAUGGGUACAGAAGUACGGGCUAACUACGUG
rnacentral:rRNA from 1 species